rnacentral:rRNA from 1 species
CCUACGGGCGGCAGCAGUGGGGAAUAUUGGACAAUGGGGGCAACCCUGAUCCAGCCAUGCCGCGUGUGUGAAGAAGGCCCUCGGGUUGUAAAGCACUUUCAGUGAAGAAGAACGCCUGGUGGUUAAUACCCAUCAGGAAAGACAUCACUCACAGAAGAAGCACCGGCUAACUCCGUGCCAGCAGCCGCGGUAAUACGGAGGGUGCGAGCGUUAAUCGGAAUUACUGGGCGUAAAGCGCGCGUAGGUGGCUUGAUAAGCCGGUUGUGAAAGCCCCGGGCUCAACCUGGGAACGGCAUCCGGAACUGGCAAGCUAGAGUGCAGGAGAGGAAGGUAGAAUUCCCGGUGUAGCGGUGAAAUGCGUAGAGAUCGGGAGGAAUACCAGUGGCGAAGGCGGCCUUCUGGACUGACACUGACACUGAGGUGCGAAAGCGUGGGUAGCAAACAGGAUUAGAUACCCCAGUAGUC